UGCUAAGACUGGAUAGGAAAUAAAAAGGCAUCUUUUUAUUUUUAAAAGACCUUUUUCGGAAGGUAUGCUUAAAGAUGAGCUUGCGCCACAUUAGUUUGUUGGUGGGGUAAUGGCCUACCAAGACGAUGAUGUGUAGCUGGACUGAGAGGUCGAACAGCCACAUUGGGACUGAGACACGGCCCAAACUCCUACGGGAGGCAGCAGUAGGGAAUCUUCGGCAAUGGAGGAAACUCUGACCGAGCAACGCCGCGUGAACGAUGAAGUAUUUCGGUAUGUAAAGUUCUUUUAUUGAAGAAGAAAAAAUAGUGGAAAAACUAUCUUGACGUUAUUCAAUGAAUAAGCCCCGGCUAACUAUGUGCCAGCAGCCGCGGUAAGACAUAGGGGGCGAGCGUUAUCCGGAAUUAUUGGGCGUAAAGGGUGCGUAGGCGGUUAGGAAAGUCUAUAAUUUAAUUUCAGUGCUUAACGCUGUCUUGUUAUAGAAACUACCUUGACUAGAGUUAGAUAGAGGCAAGCGGAAUUCCAUGUGUAGCGGUAAAAUGUGUAAAUAUAUGGAGGAACACCAGAAGCGUAGGCGGCUUGCUGGGUCUUGACUGACGCUGAGGCACGAAAGCGUGGGUAGCAAACAGGAUUAGAUACCCUGGUAGUCCACGCCGUAAACGAUGAGUACUAAGUGUCGGGAUAAAACUCGGUACUGAAGUUAACACAUUAAGUACUCCGCCUGAGUAGUACGUACGCAAGUAUGAAACUUAAAGGAAUUGACGGGACUCCGCACAAGCGGUGGAUCGUGUUGUUUAAUUCGAAGAUACACGAAAAAUCUUACCAGGUCUUGACAUGCUCUGCAAAGCUAUAGAAAUAUAGUGGAGGUUAUCAGGGACACAGGUGGUGCAUGGUUGUCGUCAGUUCGUGUCGUGAGAUGUUAGGUUAAGUCCUAAAACGAGCGCAACCCUUGUCGUUAGUUACCAGCACGUAAUGGUGGGCACUUUAACGAGACCGCCAAUUAAACAUUGGAGGAAGGUGAGGAUUACGUCAAAUCAUCAUGCCCCUUAUGAUCUGGGCUACAAACGUGAUACAAUGGCUGUUACAAAGAGUAGCUGAAGCGCGAGUUUUUAGCCAAUCUCAAAAAAGCAGUCUCAGUUCGGAUUGAAGUCUGUAACUCGACUUCAUGAAGUUGGAAUCGCUAGUAAUCGCGAAUCAGCAUGUCGCGGUGAAUACGUUCACGGGGUUUGUACACA
rnacentral:rRNA from 1 species